rnacentral:rRNA from 1 species
GGUCAAGGAAGAAAGGGCGUACGGAGAAUGCCUGGGCACAGAGAGGCGAUGAAGGACGCAGCGAACAGCGAAAUGCGGCGGCGAGCGGUAAGCACGCGAUGACCCGCCGAUAUCCGAAUGGGGAAACCCCUCCGCUUUCGAAGCGGAGACCGCAUGACGACCGUCAUGACGGGGCAAUACGCAGGGAACUGAAACAUCUAAGUACCUGCAGGAAGAGAAAGAGAAGUCGAUUCCGUAAGUAGCGGCGAGCGAAAGCGGAGGAGCCCAAACCGGACACAGUCCGGGGUUGUAGGACCGCCGGUAAAGAUGACAUGAAGAGUCAGGAGAAUCCCAUGGGAAGGGGAUCCGAAGAGGGUGAGAGACCCGUAUCCGAAGGCUUGACAUGCGUCGAGGCGGCACCUGAGUACGGCGGGGCACGUGGAAUCCUG